UACAGAGGUGGCAAGCGUUGUGCGGAAUUACUGGGCGUAAAGGGCGCGUAGGCGGCCUUCUAAGUCAGACGUGAAAUCCCCAGGCUUAACUUGGGAACUGCGUCUGAUACUGGGAGGCUUGAGUGCGGGAGAGGGAUGUGGAAUUCCAGGUGUAGCGGUGAAAUGCGUAGAUAUCUGGAGGAACACCGGUGGCGAAGGCGGCAUCCUGGACCGACACUGACGCUGAGGCGCGAAAGCUAGGGGAGCAAACGGG
rnacentral:rRNA from 1 species